UGCAGGUGUGCAUACCAUCUGAUUCAAUUUGAUCCGGACUAACAAACGCAAUCCCCAAAAAUCUUAGAUUGGUUGAGUCGUUGACUGAGUAAUUUCGUUUAAUGACAACAGCUUAUCUUAUUGAAUUUUUCGCAGGCAACUUCAAACUUAACCGCUUUACCGUUAUAUACUACACUUUUUAAUUUAAAUUUCGCCCAUUUGUCGAUUUUUUUUUUGUGUGGAAUCAAAUUUCUGGUGUCGAAUCGUACAGAAUAUUGGAAAAGGCCUUCGUUGUGUGUCGCAAGUGUUUUUGGUUGGUAAAUGUUAUUCAAAGAAGGUCGAGAACGCUUUGACGAUGAACCAAUUCCAGGACGACCGUCAACAUCAUCGUCCAUAAAAUAAAGGAAUUGGUGCUUGAGGAUCAACGAUUAACAGUCAGAGUUCUUCUGGCAUCGUUGAAAAGUUCAGUGAAAACCAUUUUCUGAGAUAAUUUCAUCAGGGAAUAAAAAAAGUGAAAGAACGAUUGGUUCCGAAAUCACUCAAUUUUUUCGAAAAUAGCGUCGCGUUAACGCAUGUUAAACAAUGCUUUCCGACUACCAGAAUGUCAUGAAACGUAUUUAUUACUGGCGAUGCAUCGUGAAUCUAUGCGUCCGACUCGGAAACAAACAAUCACUCGGCCGAAUAUCAUGGCAAAGAGUUGUGGUACAAUCCGAAUUAUUUCCUGUCAACAAGGAAUACUAUUUGUGUGUUAAGCGGCGUUCACGCAAAGCUAUUUUUAAAAAAGAGACCGGAAUUAUUGGCCGACAACUCUAGGUUUUUGCCCCACGAUAAUGCACCGUCGCAUACUGCAUUGAUUCUUCGUGAUUUUCCCUCCAAAUUUUCAACAAAUAUCGUACUGCAACAACCGUAAUUGCCUGAUUUAGCUCCGUGUGACUUCUGGCUAUUCAGCAAACUCAAACGACCGCUCCGGUGAAACCGUUUCGAGGAUUGAAAAAAAUAUUGGCACAAGUGAAUUGAAGAAUAAAUUAAGAAUUUUAAAGUUA